UACAGAGAGUGCAAGCGUUAAUCGGAAUUACUGGGCGUAAAGCGAGCGUAGUCGGUUAUUUAAGUCGGGUGUGAAAGCCCCGGGCUCAACCUGGGAAUUGCAUUCGAUACUGGAUAGCUAGAGUUCGGCAGAGGGAAGCGGAAUUUCCGGUGUAGCGGUGAAAUGCGUAGAUAUCGGAAGGAACAUCAGUGGCGAAAGCGGCUUCCUGGACCAGAACUGACGAUCAGGCUCGAAAGCGUGGGGAGCAAACAGG
rnacentral:rRNA from 1 species